AUGUCAUUGGGCAACUCAUCAGUGCAAGUCCCAACACGUCUCUAUCAGAGGCUGAGUGGGAGGAGGAUGUCCCUCUUCACACAGGAACUGGCCACAUUGGUGUUUGGAAGGGAAACUUUGGCCAAGGCAACCCUCACAGGGAAAGGGAAAAAAGAUGCAGUGAGGGAGCGAUUCCCCAACACAGAGGUGACCGAGAUCCGGGCCCUUCUACGGAGGAAGUGCAUGAGAGCUACAAGGCCUAAUCUCAUAAUCAGAGUAAGAUAUUGUUCAUUGAAGUUAAAGGCUGUUUGCUGGUGCUGUGCAAUAUCUGCUUUUGUAUUAGUGUAUCAUCUUUCUUGUGAGUGUGUUUGUGUCAGUUGUGUGAUCUAUGGCACAGAAUGGUGAUGUGUAAUCAUGUUCCUGUUAUUGUGUUGUUAUUAUUAUUAUCAUUAUAUGUCCUUUGCUUGAAUUAUGUAUUUUUGUUUGAAGUGUAAUAAAGUUUCUUUUUUGAAAUGCAAUUUGUAAUCUAAGUGUAAGUGUGCUUAAUCACUCAUGAAUCUUGAUCUUCAUUAGUGUAAUUUAGUGCACUUGAAGUUGGAAAAAAGUUAUUCCAUUUUAGCAUACUAUUUACACUUGAAGUGUAGUCAAAUAGGUUUUAAGUUGGACUUAAUACAUAAUUGAAUACACUUAACUACACUCGGAUUUGACAAAAAAAGUACAAACUGUACUUAGUACACUUUCAAAAAGUAUAUUUUUAAUAGAUUUUGUUUUCACCUGGGUUCAUAUAUGUAUGUUGAGUUGUAAUUCCUUCCUUCCUUAAGUGUGUUUGUAAGAACAGAUUCAGUGCUCCUGAAUAGAUUUUCACUGUUCUUACAGAAGAUUUUCAUUUUCAUAAUUCAAUUCAAUUCAGUUUUAUUUGUAUAGCGCCAAUUCAUAACAGAAGUUAUCUCAGGACACUUCGAAUAGAGCAGACAAUAUGUUACUGAGACGGCUUCAGUGACCCUUUAUCACAAUGAUGAUUGACUACACUGCACAAUGUAACAGUAACACACACAGACACACACACACACACACACACACACACACACACACACACACAGUGUAAUCAGAUUGAUCAUGUGAUGAAAACCUCUGAAGACUAUAAGGUUCAUAC
rnacentral:lncRNA from 15 species